rnacentral:rRNA from 1 species
AGUGUAGGCGGUCAAGCAAGUCAGAGGUGAAAGGCAUCGGCUCAACCGAUGUAAGCCUUUGAAACUGUUUGACUUGAGUGCAGGAGAGGUAAGUGGAAUUCCUAGUGUAGCGGUGAGAUGCGUAGAUAUUAGGAGGAACACCAGUGGCGAAGGCGACUUACUGGACUGUAACUGACGCUGAGGCUCGAAAGCGUGGGGAGCGAACA